rnacentral:rRNA from 1 species
UAUCUUAGUGGCGGACGGGCGAGUAACGCGUGAGCAACCUGUCCUUCAGAGGGGGACAACGGCUGGAAGCGGCCGCUAAUACCGCAUGACAUAUCCGGAUGGCAUCGUCUGGAUAUCAAAGGAGAAAUCCGCUGAAGGGUGGGCUCGCGUCCGAUUAGCUAGUUGGUAGGGUAACGGCCUACCAAGGCGACGAUCGGUAGCCGAACUGAGAGGUUGAUCGGCCGCAUUGGGACUGAGACACGGCCCAGACUCCUACGGGAGGCAGCAGUGAGGGAUAUUGGGCAAUGGGGGAAACCCUGACCCAGCAACGCCGCGUGAGGGAAGAAGGUCUUCGGAUUGUAAACCUAAGUAGUCAGGGACGAAGAAAUGACGGUACCUGAAGAGUAAGCUCCGGCUAACUACGUGCCAGCAGCCGCGGUAAUACGUAGGGAGCGAGCGUUGUCCGGAUUUACUGGGUGUAAAGGGUGCGUAGGCGGGCUGUCAAGUCAGAUGUGAAAUACCGGGGCUCAACUCCGGGGCUGCAUUUGAAACUGAUGGUCUUGAGUGAAGUAGAGGCAGGCGGAAUUCCUAGUGUAGCGGUGAAAUGCGUAGAUAUUAGGAGGAACACCAGUGGCGAAGGCGGCCUGCUGGGCUUUAACUGACGCUGAGGCACGAAAGCAUGGGGAGCAAACAGG